GAUGAAGAACGUAGCGAAAUGCGAUAAGUAAUGUGAAUUGCAGAAUUCAGUGAAUCAUCGAAUCUUUGAACGCACCUUGCGCCCUUUGGCUAUUCCGAAGGGCAUGCCUGUUUGAGUAUCAUGAACACCUCAACCCUCAUGGUUUGCCAUGAUGGGCUUGGACUUUGGGGGUCUUGCUGGAUUGUAGUCAGCUCCCCUUAAAUGAAUCAGCUUGCCAGUGUUUGGUGGCAUCACAGGUGUGAUAAAUAUCUACGCUUGUGGUUUUACAUCAGAUAACCUUCAGUGAUGGAGGUUCACUGGAGCUCAUAAAGGUGUCUCUCCUCUGUGAGGACAGCUCUUUGAAUGUUUGAUCUCAAAUCAGGCAGGACUACCCGCUGAACUUAAGCAUAUCAAAAGCGGAGGA
rnacentral:misc_RNA from 1 species